rnacentral:rRNA from 1 species
GGCGCGCUCUGCGCGCACCGGCGGACGGCUCAGUAACACGUCGGUAACCUACCCUCGGGAGGGGGAUAACCCCGGGAAACUGGGGCUAAUCCCCCAUAGGCCUGAGGUACUGGAAGGUCCUCAGGCCGAAAGGGGCUUUGCCCGCCCGAGGAUGGGCCGGCGGCCGAUUAGGUAGUUGGUGGGGUAACGGCCCACCAAGCCGAAGAUCGGUACGGGCCAUGAGAGUGGGAGCCCGGAGAUGGACACUGAGACACGGGUCCAGGCCCUACGGGGCGCAGCAGGCGCGAAACCUCCGCAAUGCGGGCAACCGCGACGGGGGGACCCCCAGUGCCGUGGCAUCGCCACGGCUUUUCCGGAGUGUAAAAAGCUCCGGGAAUAAGGGCUGGGCAAGGCCGGUGGCAGCCGCCGCGGUAAUACCGGCGGCCCGAGUGGUGGCCGCUAUUAUUGGGCCUAAAGCG